rnacentral:rRNA from 1 species
GAUGAACGCUGGCGGCGUGCCUAAUACAUGCAAGUCGAGCGAACAGAUAAGGAGCUUGCUCCUUUGACGUUAGCGGCGGACAGGUGAGUAACACGUGGGUAACCUACCUAUAAGACUGGGAUAACUUCGGGAAACCGGAGCUAAUACCGGAUAACAUUUGGAACCGCAUGGUUCUAAAGUGAAAUAUGGUUUUGCUAUCACUUAUAGAUGGACCCGCGCCGUAUUAGCUAGUUGGUAAGGUAACGGCUUACCAAGGCAACGAUACGUAGCCGACCUGAGAGGGGGAUCGGCCACACUGGAACUGAGACACGGUCCAGACUCCUACGGGAGGCAGCAGUAGGGAAUCUUCCGCAAUGGGCGAAAGCCUGACGGAGCAACGCCGCGUGAGUGAUGAAGGGUUUCGGCUCGUAAAACUCUGUUAUUAGGGAAGAACAAACGUGUAAGUAACUGUGCACGUCUUGACGGUACCUAAUCAGAAAGCCACGGCUAACUACGUG